rnacentral:lncRNA from 1 species
UUUUAGGAAAAACUCUACUUUCUUGUUAUUCUUAUCGUGCGUGGGUGUGAUCUUCUUUAUAACUCGACGUUAUGCGUUUCUAGAUCAUGCCUCCUCGUAGAGUUUACCCAAGGAAUGCUAAUGCACGCAAUGCUAACGCAAUUCCUCCAGUCCCAGAUCAUGAGGUUUUGAAUGCAGAGUUUCGGAAUGCUAGCACGCUUUUGGCUAAGAGUGUAGCCAACCAGAACAAUCAGCAGGUUCCAGUUCUUGCAAGUACUAGUGGUGGAUCAGUUGCAAAAAGGGUUCGAG